CGACACGGGGGGUGGGGCGGAGGGUUGUGGGGGCCCGUCCCGUGCUUGGCGCGCGGGCAGUUGCGUUACGGAGCGCGCAGGGUCCUAGCGCCGCCACCGCCAUCUUGUGACGGGCUGUGCCCGGAGUUCCCGCCCCGCGUGCCGGCCGGGAAGUUCGGGAGCCCGGGGGCGCUUGCGGUCCGGAGAAGUGUCCUCGUUCCGAUCUGCGGACGUGCGGGGGUAAAACGAAGUGGCUCCCCAGCGCCGAUAAUAAGGGAAAUGCCAUUAAGUAUGUGGGCCAAAUGAAAGAGAAUACUAAAGCAUUCUGACCCUGGGAUUUUUCUUGGUUCUUUGCUGCCACGGUUGUUGUUUUAGCUGAAACAUUGGACAGCAGUAAUGGCAGCAUCUGGUAGAGGUUACUGGGGCACUUUUGGAGUGUUGGUCAGAAGUUUUGCUCAAUGGUUCUGGCUUGGAAUCCCUACCUGAGUC